AAAGACCUCGCGCGAUUGGAGCGGCUGAUAUCAGAUUAGGUUGUUGGUGAGGUAAAAGCUCACCAAGCCGACGAUCUGUAGCUGGUUUGAGAGAAUGAUCAGUCACACCGGAACUGAGACACGGUCCGGACUCCUACGGGAGGCAGCAGUGGGGAAUAUUGGACAAUGGGGGCAACCCUGAUCCAGCCAUGCCGCGUGUGUGAAGAAGGCCUUUUGGUUGUAAAGCACUUUAAGCAGGGAGGAGAGGCUAAUGGUUAAUACCCAUUAGAUUAGACGUUACCUGCAGAAUAAGCACCGGCUAACUCUGUGCCAGCAGCCGCGGUAAUACAGAGGGUGCGAGCGUUAAUCGGAAUUACUGGGCGUAAAGCGAGUGUAGGUGGCUCAUUAAGUCACAUGUGAAAUCCCCGGGCUUAACCUGGGAACUGCAUGUGAUACUGGUGGUGCUAGAAUAUGUGAGAGGGAAGUAGAAUUCCAGGUGUAGCGGUGAAAUGCGUAGAGAUCUGGAGGAAUACCGAUGGCGAAGGCAGCUUCCUGGCAUAAUAUUGACACUGAGAUUCGAAAGCGUGGGUAGCAAACAGGAUUAGAUACCCUGGUAGUCCACGCCGUAAACGAUGUCUACUAGCCGUUGGGGUCCUUGAGACUUUAGUGGCGCAGUUAACGCGAUAAGUAGACCGCCUGGGGAGUACGGCCGCAAGGUUAAAACUCAAAUGAAUUGACGGGGGCCCGCACAAGCGGUGGAGCAUGUGGUUUAAUUCGAUGCAACGCGAAGAACCUUACCUGGUCUUGACAUAGUGAGAAUCCUGCAGAGAUGCGGGAGUGCCUUCGGGAAUUCACAUACAGGUGC
rnacentral:rRNA from 1 species